UUAACUAUUAGAUAGUACUCAGACGACAUUUUCAGAAUUUUAGAUAUAAUACACAAGGGUGAGGUUUGCUACCCGUUAGGGCAGCUAACACUGUAAUGAUCCUUCCGCAGGUUCACCUACGGAAA
rnacentral:misc_RNA from 1 species